GUACGUGAGACCGGACAUGCGUGAUGAGUGUGGGUUUGUAAGAGCGGACACGGCUGUUAGUGCAAGGCCGUGAGUAAUGAUAGACUUAACCCUGUUUAGGAUUGUGGUUGAUAGUGGAGUUUCAGGAGUCUUAGAAAUGAGAGCUUUUACAGAGUGGAACUAUUGAAAGUAAAGUUUUUUUUUUUUUAAACGUAAUUUGCUGUUUGAUGAUUAUAUUUUUAAAAUAUUAUAAAUAUUAACAUUU
rnacentral:lncRNA from 1 species